AAAUCUCAGAAGCCAUCAGCAGACUUCCUUUACAUCUCAUUUGUCCAGAACUGGUUCAGAUGCCCACCAGACCAAACACUGGGGAAACUAUGACUGACUUAAGAGCUGUCACAGUCUAUAUCCUGGGGUUUAGCACCUUGCCAUUUAAAAAAUGAGGGAAUCUGGCAGCAAGCAAGAAGAGGGAAUAGCUAUUGAGCAGGAAACCAACAAUGUCAGCCACAUCUGCAUUCAAUAUUUACCAAAAUUUAGUAAAGAUUACAUACAUAUUAGUUUGACCAAAAAGGGUAAAAAAAAGUUAAAUUAAGAGGAUAGGAGACAGAAGUAUAUACAUUGGGAGAAGGGUGUAUAUAACAACUAAAUCCUCAUCUUCCAUAGCAGAAAAUGAAUUAAUAUCCCAAACUAAGAAAUAGGCUGGGCAUAGGGGCUCACACCUAUAAUCACAGCACUUUGGGAGGCUGAGGCAAGAGGGUCAUCUGAGCCCAGGAGUUUAAGACCAGCUUGGGAAACAUGGUGAGAAAUCAUCUUUACAAAAAUUUUAAAAAUUAGCCGUGCUUGGUGGCACUCCUAUGAUCCCAGGAGGCUGAGCCCAGGAGGUCAAGGCUGCAGUGCACAUUAGCUAAAUGAGUUUAAAAUGGUUUCUCUGAGAGUGGAAAUGGAGAUGAAGGAACGGGGCAUCGGAAUGUUGCUUUUUGUUGUGUGGCCAGUAAGACUAUAUGACUUUUACAACUUUGUUGCUUUCAUAGGUAUUAAAAAAAUGUAAUAAUAAUAAAAAAAAAAAGCAAAAUGGCAAGAAAAAAAGCAUGAACACUGAUGAAUGUUCAUUUACGAAAGGACAAUUACUACGUGGUUCCAUUUAACUGAGAUUCCUAGAGUAGUCAAAUUCAUGAAGACACAAAGUAGGAUGAUUAGCUGCCGGAGGCUGCGGUGGUACUGCUUAAUGGGAAGUUAUUGUUUAAUUGGUAUGAGGUUUCAGUUUAGGAAGAUGAAAAACGUUCUGAAGAUGGAUGGUGGUGAUGGUUGCAAAACAAGGUGAAUAUAUUUAAUCCCACUGAGCUGUACAAUUAAAAAUGACUAAAAUGGAAAUUUUUGUUAUGUAUGUUUAAAACAUCAAGAGAUAGUGUAUUAAAAAACCAUUAUAAGGAACUAAGAAAAAAGAUGCUUACAAAAUAUCUUAUAAAUACAUACAUACAAACCAACACUGCUAGGGCAGCAGGGACCACGAGGAGGAAGGUAUCCUUCAAGCCUAGACAUUGAAUUAAAAAAAGAAACAAAGCAUUUGGCAUGUAACUUCAAUUUCUACUAGGAAUUCUUGACAAUUCUCCAGCUAUGUCUCACAUAAGGGCCCACCAAAAGAUGAGAAACAGAUACAAGAUGAACAAGCAGCAAGUGCUUCUAAUGCACUCAGAAAAGAAGUCUAAGCCUGUCUUUCUCUCUCCCACCCCCAUAAGGGAAAAUAAGAAAGGAAAAAACAGAAAGGACUUAACAAAGAAAGUGUUUUCUCUGCUUUUUAUUCUUUCAACUUAGGAAGGUAGAACAAGGUCUAUGUUUUAUUGACUGAGUUAUAGAACAUUCAUGAAUGAACUUCAGUUUUAAACAUCUGUUCUUCAUGGAGACUCUGGAUGAAGAGACAGACUCCUGAAAAGCUCUAUGGCAAAUAACCCAGAGGAAACUAAAAGCUGCCUAACUCUGUAUUCUUCAGGGAGACAGGUGGUGGCCAAACCACAUUCACUGUGCACAACCAUCAAAUCUCUGAAGUGCUAAUAAACCAACAAAGACAAUUUUUAUCUUAACAAAAGAAACAGGGCUGGGCAUGGUGGUUCAAUCCCAGCACUCUGGGAGGCCGAGGUGGGCGGAUCACUUGAGGUCAGGAGUUCGAGACCAGCCUGGCCAACAUGGUAAAACCCCAUCUCUACUAAAAAUACAAAAAUCAGCCACGCGUGGUGGUGGGCGCCCGUAAUCCCAGCUACUCAGGAGGCUGAGGCAGGAGAAUCACUUGAACCCAGGAGGCGGAGGUUGCGGUGAGCCAAGAUGGCGCCAUUGCACUCCAGCCUGGGCAACAAGAGUGAAACUCUGUCUCAAAGAAAGAAAGAAAAAAAAAAGCAGCUCCCUUCACCCCCAAUACUCUUUAUUUUGGUAUAGUUCACUUUCACUCCCAGUGGAUUAUUUUCCCUUCUUCCUGCUUUCUCCUUUUUUCCAAACCCAUCCAAUGACCUUUAUGAAAUUCUGUCCCAAUGAACCAAUCAUAUCAACUAUCCAAGAGGCAGAAGAGCUACAACCCAGACAAAAUUUCAGACCAUCACAGUUAGUUCCCCUCUGCUGCCCUUGUUAUGGUAACAGCAUACUUUUCCAUGGCUGAUGAGAACUCUGUGAAGGAAAAGAAAGGCAAAGAGAAAGGGUAAAAGAGGUGUCUCUGUUUCUGCUCAUUCCGCAGAGCAAAACAACUCUUCUAAAAGGGGGCAGUUCAGCACCUAGAAAGGAAAUAAGGUAGCGGAAAGAAUCAUAUUAGCUAGCAUUCCAGAGGUAGAAAAGUCUCUUUAAAUGUUUGCAAACUUCCUUUCCUAGUAAGAUAAGCAUCUCAAAACAGUAGAGGAAAAAACUGGAAUAGUGAUCAGGAUACUAAAUUUGAGGGACUCACGGACAAUAAUUAGCUGUUUAAUACUAACAAGUUACUUAACUUCUCUGGGUCCCAAUUUCUCUCAAUAAUAAAAUGAAAGCAUUAGGUUUCUUCUAGGUCACUAGUGUUAUUAAAAGUGGAGCCAACUAUAGUAACUUUACCUUCCUUUGAGGGCAGAGGUAGCUUCUCAAUGGAAGAACCAAAUAUCAUCCCCACUCCUCCACAGGCAGAUAGAAAAAAAAAUAAAAUCCAAGAGCUUUUUUUUUGGCCUGGAAUUUGCCCAACAAAAAGUUUCCUCUUCCUUCAUAAGGAGAAAGGGUACUCUUCCAGCAAUAUGAGAAAUCCAAGAGGUUACAGCAAGUGUGUUUUCACCCACUUCUCACUUCCCAAACCACAGAAAGACAAUUUUGAGAAAGCUCAAGGGUAAGCUGUAUCUCCUGUGAUCCCCAAUGAAUAAAGAACUCUUCAAGGGGGAGAAACUCUAAGUUUGCUAUGCUGUGAAUGUCCCUGCUCAGUCUGAUCAUUUAGGGCAUUCGGUCCAUCAACUGUUGUUAUGCUGGAAUGCUCUGACAUGUAUGUGACCCUCCAGAAGAUUUCUAGAAGUUUGAGGCAGGAAAUGUUAAUCCCCUCCCUUACCACUAAAUAGAGAUUUCCAAUACAAGCCUAUCACUCAUUUUUCUAAAUGUUUUCAAGUCUGAAAUAUAUGUUAGCACUUGACUCUACUCUUUCAGAACUAAAAAUCUUAUCUGUCUGCCCCUACCCCCAAAUCAAGAAUUUAAACCUGUUCAGACCAAGGACUGUAUUUCCUACUUUUGUCUGUUGUCCCCUUUUGUGCGAACCACUCCCCUGGGCACACAAAAUUUACUAACGAUACCUAACCAUAUUAAUCCAGGAGUCUGGAGGUGGCCAGAUAACAAACUAUUGCACCCUGGUUGAGGGAAAUAAAAUUACAUGAUGAGAGGAAGAUGAAUGUAGCAUUAGAGAUACACAAACCGUCAGAGGGGGAAGUUAAAUCAGUAAGUAAAGAACACCUAAACAGUAUUCAUUGCUGUAAUAGUGAUUAAAUCCAACUGCAACGGCACCAUGUCCUUAUAAAGAUAUUAAAUAAGCCCUCAUGUUAAAAAUCCACUGAUUACAGCCAGGCGCAGUGGCUGACGCCUGUACUCCCAGCACUUUGGGAGGCCGAGGCGGGCAGAUCACGAGGUCAGAAGAUUAAGACCAUCCUGGCUAAGCCGCCCCGUCCGGGAGGUGAGGGGCGCCUCUGCCCGGCCGCCCCUACUGGGAAGUGAGGAGACCCUGUGCCCGG
rnacentral:lncRNA from 10 species